GGGGGGUGCGAGCGUUGUCCGGAAUCACUGGGCGUAAAGGGCGCGUAGGUGGCUUGGCAAGCGCGUGGUGAAAGCCCGGGGCUCAACCCCGGGUCUGUCAUGCGAACUGCUAUGGCUCGAGCACUGUAGAGGCAGGUAGAAUUCCGGGUGUAGCGGUGGAAUGCGUAGAGAUCCGGAAGAAUACCGGUGGCGAAGGCGGCCUGCUGGGCAGUGGCUGACACUGAGGCGCGACAGCGUGGGGAGCAAACAGGAUUAGAUACCCUGGUAGUCCACGCCGUAAACGAUGGGCACUAGGUGCUUGGGGGAGCGACCCUCUGAGUGCCGUCGCUAACGCAGUAAGUGCCCCGCCUGGGGAGUACGGCCGCAAGGCUG
rnacentral:rRNA from 1 species